rnacentral:rRNA from 1 species
AGUGAACGCUGGCGGUAGGCCUAACACAUGCAAGUCGAACGGCAGCACAGUAAGAGCUUGCUCUUACGGGUGGCGAGUGGCGGACGGGUGAGGAAUACAUCGGAAUCUACUUUUUCGUGGGGGAUAACGUAGGGAAACUUACGCUAAUACCGCAUACGACCUACGGGUGAAAGCAGGGGAUCUUCGGACCUUGCGCGAUUGAAUGAGCCGAUGUCGGAUUAGCUAGUUGGCGGGGUAAAGGCCCACCAAGGCGACGAUCCGUAGCUGGUCUGAGAGGAUGAUCAGCCGCACUGGAACUUAGACACGGACCAGACUCCUACGGGAGGCAGCAGUGGGGAAUAUUGGGCAAUGGGCGCAAGCCUGAUCCAGCCAUACCGCGUGGGUGAAGAAGGCCUUCGGGUUGUAAAGCCCUUUUGUUGGGAAAGAAAAGCAGCAGGUUAAUACCCCGCUGUUCUGACGGUACCCAAAGAAUAAGCACCGGCUAACUUCGUG